rnacentral:rRNA from 1 species
AACGAACGCUGGCGGCAGGCUUAACACAUGCAAGUCGAACGCAUCCUUCGGGGUGAGUGGCAGACGGGUGAGUAACGCGUGGGAACGUGCCCUUCAGUUCGGGAUAACCCAGGGAAACUUGGGCUAAUACCGGAUACGUGCGAGAGCAGAAAGAUUUAUCGCUGAAGGAUCGGCCCGCGUCUGAUUAGCUAGUUGGUGGGGUAAUGGCACACCAAGGCGACGAGCAGUAGCUGGUCUGAGAGGAUGAUCAGCAACAUUGGGACUGAGACACGGCCCAAACUCCUACGGGAGGCAGCAGUGGGGAAUAUUGGACAAUGGGCGCAAGCCUGAUCCAGCCCUGCCGCGUGAGUGAUGAAGGCCUUAGGGUUGUAAAGCUCUUUCGUCCGGGACGAUAAUGACGGUACCGGAAGAAGAAGCCCCGGCUAACUUCGUGCCAGCAGCCGCCGUAA